rnacentral:rRNA from 1 species
UACGUAGGGGGCAAGCGUUGUCCGGAUUUAUUGGGCGUAAAGAGCGUGUAGGCGGUCAGGUAGGUCGGUUGUGAAAACUGGAGGCUCAACCUUCAGAGGUCGACCGAAACCCCCUGGCUAGAGUCCGGGAGAGGAGAGUGGAAUUCCUGGUGUAGCGGUGAAAUGCGCAGAUAUCAGGAAGAACACCCGUGGCGAAAGCGGCUCUCUGGAACGGUACUGACGCUGAGACGCGAAAAGCGUGGGGAGCGAACAGG